AUCAGUUCAGUUUAUAUAUUAAAUAAAAAAUGUACUUUAAUUGUCUCAAAACUUUAGCUUGCUCGAAGGUCCUUGUUAUUAGAUUUGCUUGCUUCCUUACUCUGGGUGCAGUGCUCUGUGCAUGACUAUUAGCUUCAUGCCCACAAUGCGGUGUGCACUCUGUACCGGGUGGGUCAAGGUUUGGGACAGGCAUAAAGAUAGGAAUGGCCCUACUUUUAAAACACCUAAACAUCUAAUGUAAAGACCUUGUUUUUCAAUGUUACUAAUUUUUCUAACAUAAUAAUCAAUAGAUAGAUAUUUUUAAUAGAGAUUAUUAUCCACCGUGUGAAUACAUUAAAACAGAUGUAAAGGCCAACAAGUUUUUUUUUAAUGAAACACUUAACUAAUACAAUUAGAAGUAGGGUACUGCCCUGAAAUGUGGGUUGUUGGCUCACAGGGCAGGGCCCUAUAGUUAUUUAUUAUGAAAAUAUCUAAAUACCUUGUUUCAAAAUGUUUCAUAACUGGCUAAUCCCAAUAAGAGGUGUCUAGAGCAUACGCUCAAGCGGGACAGGGCCGUCUGUCUGACCCUACUUGCCGAGCCCAACGAGAGGUGUACAGAUUAUACACACAAGCAGGACAGGGCCGCCUACAGUCUUGGACUUCCAGGUUCUCUGACCCUAACAGUAGAGCCCGACAAGAAGUCUUGGACUUUUGGAAGUCUUGGACUUCCAAGGUCUCCUCCCUGCCAUCCAAGCACAACGAUAAGUCUUGGGCGGAACAGGGCCACCUGCCAUCCUGGAAGUUUUUAAUUUCCAGGGUCUCUGACCACCGGCCAAGCCUGACGAAAAGUGCCCAGAGCAUACACGCAGGCGGGACAGGGCCGCCUGCCAUCCUGGAAGUCUUGGACUUCCAGGGUGUCUGACCCUACUGGCUGAGCCCAAGGACAGGACUUAGAAACAAAUGCGCAGGCGGGACAGGGCCGCCUGCUCUCCUGGAAGUUUUGGACUUCCAGGGUCUCCAACCCUACCGGUCAAGCCAGACGAGGUGUCCAGAACAUAAGCGCAAGCAAGGCAGGGCCGCCUGCCGUCCUAGAAGUCUUGGACUUCCUGGGUGUCUGACCCUACCGGCCAAGAUCGGUGAGAGUUGUCAAGAGGGCCACCUGUUGUUCUGGAAGUUUUAGACUUCCAGGGUCUCUGACCCUACCAGCAGAGCCCGACGAGAAGUCUUGGACUUCCAAGGUGUCUGUUCCUAACAGCUGAGCCCAAAGAUAGGACUCAGAAACGGAUGCACAGGUGGGACAGGGCCGCCUGUUGUCCUGGAAGUUUAAGACUUCCAACCCUACUGGCCAAUCGUGACGAGGUGUCCAGAGCAUACGCGCAAGCGGGACAGGGCCACUUGCCGUCCUGCAAGUCUUGGACUUCUAGGGUCUCCGAUCCUACUGUCCAAGCUUGACAAUAAGUCUUGAGCGGGACAGGACCGCCUGCCAUCCUGAAAGUCUUGAACUUCCAGGGUCUCUGACCUUACGGCCAUUCCCAACUAAAGGUGUCCAGAGCAUACGCGCAAGCGGGACAGGGCCGCCUGCCGUCCUAGAAGUCUUGGACUUCCAGGGUGUCUGACCCUACCGGCCAAGCUCGGUGAGAGGUGUCAAGAGGGCCACCUGUUGUCCUGGAAGUUUUAGACUUCCAGGGUCUCCGACCCUACCGGCAGAGCCCGACGAGAAGUCUUGGACUUCCAAGGUGUCUGUUCCUAACAGCUGAGCCCAAAGAUAGGACUCAGAAACGGAUGCACAGGUGGGACAGGGCCGCCUGUUGUCCUGGAAGUUUUGGACUUCCAACCCUACUGGCCAAUCCUGACGAGGUGUCCAGAGCAUACGCGCAAGCGGGACAGGGCCACUUGCCGUCCUGCAAGUCUUGGACUUCUAGGGUCUCCGACCCUACCGUCCAAGCUUGACAAUAAGUCUUGAGCGGGACAGGGCUGCCUGCCAUCCUGAAUGUUUUUGAUUUCCAGGGUCUCUGACCACUGGCUGAGCCUGACAAGACUUGUCAAGGCAAACAAACAAAAAGGACAGGGCUGCCUGCCAUCCUGGUAGUCUUGGACUUCCAGGGUCUCUGACCUUACGGCCAUUCUCGACUAGAGGUGUCCAGAGCAUACGCGCAAGCGAGACUGGACUGCUUGCCAUCCUAGAAGUCUUUGACUUCCAGGGUGUCUGACCCUAACAGCCGAGCCCAAAGAUAGGACUAAGAUACGGAUGCAGGUGGGACAGGGCCGCCUGUUGUCCUGGAAGUUUUGGACUUCCAACCCUACUGGCCAAUCCUGACGAGGUGUCCAGAGCAUACGCGCAAGCGGGACAGGGCCACUUGCCAUCCUGCAAGUCUUGGACUUCUAGGGUCUCCGACCCUACCGUCCAAGCUUGACAAUAAGUCUUGAGCGGGACAGGGCUGCCUGCCAUCCUGAAUGUUUUUGAUUUCCAGGGUCUCUGACCACCGGCUGAGCCUGACAAGACUUGUCAAGGCAAACACACAAACAGGACAGGGCCGCCUGCCAUCCUGGAAGUCUUGAACUUCCAGGGUCUCUGACCUUAUGGCCAUUCCCAACUAAAGGUGUCCAGAGCAUACGCGCAAGUGGGACAGGGCCGCUUGCCGUCCUAGAAGUCUUGGACUUCCAGGGUGUCUGACCCUACCGGCCAAGCUCGGUGAGAGGUGUCAAGAGGGCCACCGGUUGUCCUGGAAGUUUUAGACUUCCAGGGUCUCCGACCCUACCGGCAGAGCCUGACGAGAAGUCUUGGACUUCCAAGGUGUCUAUUCCUAACAGCUGAGCCCAACGAUAGGACUCAGAAACGAAUGCACAGGUGGGACAGGGCCGCCUGUUGUCCUGGAAGUUUUGGACUUCCAACCCUACUGGCCAAUCCUGAUGAGGUGUCCAGAGCAUACGCGCAAGUGGGAUAGGGCCACUUGCCGUCCAGCAAGUCUUGGACUUCUAGGGUCUCCGACCCUACCGUCCAAGCUUGAAAAUAAGUCUUGGGUGGAACAGGGCUGCCUGCCAUCCUGGAAGUUUUUGAUUUCCAGGGUCUCUGACCAUCACCUCUGACGAGAGGUGUCCAGAGCAUACACGCAAGCGGGACAGGGCCGCCUGCCGUCCUGGAAGUCCAAGACUUCCAGGGUCUCUGACCUUACCUGCCAAUCCUGACGAGAGGUGUCCAGAGCAUACGUGCAAGUGGGACAGGGCCACUUGCCGUUCUGGAAGUCUUGGACUUCCAGGGUGUCUGACCCUACCGGCCAAGCUUGGUGAGAGGUGUCAAGAGGGCCACCUGUUGUCCUGGAAGUUUUAGACUUCCAGGGUCUCCGACCCUACCGGCAGAGCCCGACAAGAAGUCUUGGACUUCCAAGGUGUCUGUUCCUAACAGCUGAGCCCAAAGAUAGGACUCAGAAAUGGAUGCACAGGUGGGACAGGGCCGCCUGUUGUCCUGGAAGUUUUGGACUUCCAACCCUACUGGCCAAUCCUGACGAGGUGUCCAGAGCAUACGCGCAAGCGGGACAGGGCCACUUGCCGUCCUGCAAGUCUUUGACUUCAAGGGUCUCUGACCCUACCGUCCAAGCUUGACAAUAAGUCUUGAGCGGGACAGGGCUGCCUGCCAUCCUGAAUGUUUUUGAUUUCCAGGGUCUCUGACCACCGGCUGAGCCUGACAAGACUUGUCAAGGCAAACACACAAACAGGACAGGGCCGCCUGCCAUCCUGGAAGUCUUGAACUUCCAGGGUCUCUGACCUUACGGCCAUUCCCAACUAAAGGUGUCCAGAGCAUACGCGCAAGUGGGACAGGGCCGCCUGCCGUCCUAGAAGUCUUGGACUUCCAGGGUGUCUGACCCUACCGGCCAAGCUCAGUGAGAGGUGUCAAGAGGGCCACCGGUUGUCCUGGAAGUUUUAGACUUCCAGGGUCUCCGACCCUACCGGCAGAGCCCGACGAGAAGUCUUGGACUUCCAAGGUGUCUGUUCCUAACAGCUGAGCCCAAAGAUAGGACUCAGAAACGGAUGCACAGGUGGGACAGGGCCGCCUGUUGUCCUGGAAGUUUUGGACUUCCAACCCUACUGGCCAAUCCUGACAAGGUGUCCAGAGCAUACGUGCAAGUGGGAUAGGGCCACUUGCCGUCCUGCAAGUCUUGGACUUCUAGGGUCUCCGACCCUACCGUCCAAGCUUGACAAUAAGUCUUGGGUGGGACAGGGCUGCCUGCCAUCCUGGAAGUUUUUGAUUUCCAGGGUCUCUGACCAUCACCUCUGACGAGAGGUGUCCAGAGCAUACACGCAAGCGGGACAGGGCCGCCUGCCGUCCUGGAAGUCCAAGACUUCCAGGGUCUCUGACCUUACCUGCCAAUCCUGACGAGAGGUGUCCAGAGCAUACGCGCAAGUGGGACAGGGCCACUUGCCGUCCUGCAAGUCUUGUUCUUGUAGGGUCUCUGACCCUAUCGGCAGAGCCAGAUGAGAAAUGUCCAGAGCAUAUGCGCAAGCGGGACAGGGCCGCCUGCCGUCCUAGAAGUCUUGGACUUCCAGGGUGUCUGACCCUACCGGCCAAGCUCGGCAAGAGGUGUCAAGAGGGCCACCUGUUGUCCUGGAAGUUUUAGACUUCCAGGGUCUCCGACCCUACCAACGCAAUGUCGAAAGACUGUUCUCAAAAGGGAACAACGUAAAGCUAGGCAAACACUAAACAUACUAGCCUAAACUGAACUAUAAACAUAACAGUAAACUAAACUUUAAAUAACUAGACUUAAUAGACUUCAUACAGGAAACAUACAAACGAAUCAGCACAGGACAGCAAACACAAGCUUAUCAAGGGGGCAACAGGUGUGGGGCAUAUAACAAUAGCAAGAUAAUUAACCCAAUUAACACCAAAGCAAACAAUGACAUGUGCUUCCACACAAAACAAGUAACGUUGUCACGAUCCUGACAAAAGACUAGAAAAGCAUGAUUGAUAGAGGCAGGAUCGUGACAUAUAGUGAAAUUGUCAUAUUUUUGUCUUUAAUUUCUUCUGUGAGUUUAAUUUGUUUUACAGAUAGUAAAAACAGUUGAGGGAAUGUUGUUAGAUGACCAACUCAUGUAUGAAGCUGCAGAUGAGGGGAAAGACAGAGAUGAAGCAGGAGGAUCAGGCUCCAUGACUGAUGGAAAGCUCUUCAUACAGGCAUCAGUCAAUCAGAACACCUGAGACGAUGCUGCACAUUCACUGGGAUGAAACUGUGAAGAUAAUUCAGACAGAGACUGAAAAGAUUCAAAACAACACCACUGAAACACUGAAUAAUCACAUGACACGCACCUCUGCCAAUAAUAACAUAAUAAAAGUAAAUAAAGAUAUAAAAG